rnacentral:lncRNA from 1 species
GAGGUGCCCCAUUACCUUCCUGCCUUUUAAUUGUUGCUCAGUGUCAGAGGAGGACUGCUGGAGCUCCUGAUGAAACCAAGUUCAUGGUCUUGCCUCCUGGCCCUGCCAGCCUUGCUCUGGAGCCAAAUGCCUACCAAAAGAUCCUUCUCCUUGUGCACAGGUAUGGAAGCUAAUCUUUGAAGACACACGUAAUCAGCAAGAUGGUGAUUGUUGAAGGACGAGUGUGGCCUGAUGUGCUAAUUUCUAGGUUGAAAAGGAACAUCAUUUUUGCAACAAUGAAAUUGUGAUCUGCCCUUCCCCCAACUCCUCCUCCCUUCUCAUUUAGGUAAGUACUAAAAUAAACAGGAAAGGGGAACUGUGUCUCUUACCCCUGUGUGAGUGGCCCAAUGAAUUGA